CGCAUCUGUGCAUGCAGCAUAUCAAUAAGCGGAGGAAAAGAAACUAACAAGGAUUCCCUUAGUAACGGCGAGUGAAGCGGGAAGAGCUCAAAUUUGAAAUCUUCAAGGUUUUACCUUGACGAAUUGUAGUUUAAAGAAGUGUUUUCUGCUGAAGUUUUGGUAAAAGUUCUUUGGAAUAGGACAUCAUAGAGGGUGAGAAUCCCGUAUUUGACCAUUAUUUUCAGCUUUGUGAUACACUUUCAAAGAGUCGGAUUGUUUGGGAAUGCAGUCCAAAAUGGGUGGUAAAUUUCAUCUAAAGCUAAAUAUUGGUGAGAAACCGAUAGCGAACAAGUACCGUGAGGGAAAGAUGAAAAGAACUUUGAAAAGAGAGUGAAACAGUACGUGAAAUUGUCAAAAGGGAAGCGUUUGACACCAGUGUUGUUUUCUCGAAAAUCAAUUAAAAAUGGCUCGAUUUUGUAUUGCUGAGACCUUAAAAGCUCACUGUACAUUUUUCGUGUCUUUUUUAAUGCACUUUUCGUUUAACAAGUCAACAUCAGUUUCUUUUGUUGUAAAAGGGUCAUUGGAAGGUGGCUUUCUUUUCGGAGAAAGUGUUUAUAGCCUUUGGCCUCUGCAAUCGAAGAGACUGAGGUCUGCAGCGUAGACUCUUCGGGGUUAGAUACAUUUGUGCUAAGUUAUAGCUUUUUAUAGACAACUUGUUGACUAUAAUUAGUCUUGUAGCUUACUCGCUUAUGCUAUUUUACCUACGCUUAGGAUGUUGACGCAUGAGAUAUACGC
rnacentral:rRNA from 1 species